CCUCGGCGCACAUGCGCAGACGCCCGGCGACCUCCCGGCUCGGAGUCUCCGCCGCUCUGACAAUGGCGGCCCGCGGCGUGGGACUGUUGACCCGGUUGUCCCUCGGUGCUCAGAGAAGUCAAGUCCAGCGUGCUCUCCGUAGGCUUCUCAGUUGUCCGGGAACGGUGGCCGCAGACCUCAGGAGAGAAGAGCAGUUCUCGGGGAGCGCGGAGACAGGCUCUGAAGACAGGAUUCCCAAGAAGCGAUUCUCAGAGGUGCAAGAAGAAAGACGAGAACAGGCCCAGCGGACAGUGUUAAUCCACUGCCCAAAUAAAAUCAGUGAGAAGAAGUUUCUCCAGUAUUUAUCCCAACACGGACCCAUUAACAGCCACUUCUUCUAUGAAAGCUUUGGUCUUUAUGCCGUUGUAGAAUUUUGUCAGAAGGAAAGUGUAGCUUCACUGCAGAGUGUGACUCGUACGCCAAGCCGGGACACAGAGGCUGCAAUUCCGUUCAGGUCCCGGUACUUCAGUUUAAAGUUGAGGAAUCCAUCAAGCCAGCCUUUGGAACAGUCAAGAGUUCAGUGUAGUAAUCAGUCCUCUCCUUCAAGCAAGAGGCUUUUUGAAUUACUUUGUUGUGCAGAAAGUGUAGAUGAUCAGCUGACUGCUCUCCUGAAGACAUUCCAGCUCACAGAAGAGAACACCAAACUCCGCUAUCUCACCUGCUCUCUUAUUGAGGACAUAGCGGCUGCAUAUUUUCCAGGCUGUGCAGUCAGACCCUUUGGCUCUUCAGUGAACAGUUUUGGGAAAUUAGGAUGUGAUUUGGACAUGUUUUUGGAUCUGGAUGAAAUUGGAAGCUUUAGUGCCCAAAAGGCUUCAGGAAAUUUUCUGAUGGAAUUUCAAGUGAAAAAUGUUCCUUCGGAAAGAAUUGUGACUCAGAAGAUCCUGUCUGUGAUAGGGGAGUGCCUUGAUCACUUUGGCCCCGGCUGUGUCGGGGUGCAGAAGAUCCUAAAUGCUCGGUGUCCCCUGGUCAGGUUCUCGCACCAGGCCUCCGGGUUUCAGUGUGAUUUGACCACUAACAAUAGGAUCGCCUUGAAAAGUUCCGAGCUGCUUUAUCUGUAUGGUGCCCUGGACUCACGCGUGAGAGCCUUGGUGUUCAGCAUCCGAUGCUGGGCUCGAGUGCAUUCGUUAACAAGUAGUAUUCCUGGUGCUUGGAUUACAAAUUUCUCCCUCACCAUGAUGGUCAUCUUCUUUCUCCAGAGGAGAUCACCCCCUAUUCUUCCAACACUAGACUCCUUGAAAUCCCUAGCAGAUGCAGAAGAUAAGUGUAUAAUAGAAGGCCACAACUGUACAUUUGUUCGUGACUUGAAUAAAAUUAAACCUUCAGGAAAUACAGAAUCACUAGAAUUACUACUGAAAGAAUUUUUUGAAUAUUUUGGAAAUUUCGCUUUCAAUAAAAAUUCCAUAAAUAUUCGACAGGGAAGGGAACAAAACAAACCUGAAUCUUCUCCACUGCACAUUCAGAAUCCAUUUGAAACCUCUCUCAACAUAAGCAAAAAUGUAAGUCAAAGCCAGCUGCAAAAAUUUGUAGAGCUGGCCAGAGAAAGCGCCUGGAUUUUACAUCAGGAAGUUAAAGAACGCCAGUCAAGCAACCAGCCCUGGGGGCUGGCCACCCUGCUGCUGCCUUCUGUAGCAAAUAACAAAUCUUUUGUCAAGAAGCGAAAGAAGCCUGCAAGUGAAAGAAUUAAAAACUUGUUGGAAUCCAUAAAAAGUAGCAGCACAGAACAUCCCACAGACACCAAUGGGAAAAGAGCUGUUAACACUCAGGCAUGAUGGUGGCUGCUUUGCCUUCAGAACUGGUUUUGUCCUGUACGAUGAUCUCUGGACCUGGAAGAACUGCGUGAAACUCACAGAUCACCCUGUCUUCUGCUGUCUCUCUUCAUGAUCUCUUCCCUUUGGGCCCCUUAACCUGGUCCGAUGUCCUGUGACAUUUUUGGUCUGAUGCCCAGGGAUGCUGUGGUGAAACGUUAGCCGAGGGAACAGGUGACAGAAGAUUGGAAUGUGCUUCAGAUAAACCAUACAGAUCAGUUUUAGAAUCAAACCGUUGUUGAUUCCACAUCAGUCCCAGGGUGUAAAUCAUUGAAAAGAACUCUCUAGGGUGAGAACAGAAUUAGACUGUUUCAAGUCACUUCAUGUUCCUAGAGAUUCCUUGGCUUUAGAAGGACAGCUCUGUUCAGUUCCAUACGGCCUGCUGGUGCCAGAGUAGGAACAUGCUCCCUUUGCAUGCCUAAGUCUAAACCUGCGCAGUGAGCAUCUGUGGCAGAAGCGGCAGAAAGAGCAGCCGAGCCAGGUGGUGGCUCUCUCCACUCGCCAGAGCUUGGUACUCAGCUGGUGAGUAGCUGUCAUUGCGUCUUGAUGCAGCGAAACCAUCCAAAAUGCUGUCACAAGGAGGAAAUCUUUUCUGCCCAAGAUGAUCAGAAAAGGCUUCAUCCAUCACAUAGAAUAGGGUAGGUCUUGACGGGAAUUGUCAUCUGUGUCGUCCAGAGCCAGGGCCUGGAGAUUGUCAUUCUGGGAGCAGAAGUGUAAAUAGGAGCCAGGAGGAGGAGGCGUGUUUGGAGACCUGGCUGGCCAGGCCAGCAGGGAUGGGAUUUUGCUCUGGUACUCAGGGAAUCAAGGCUGAGGGAGAUGGUGAGACUGCCCAUGGUGAGCCAAGGAGGUGGUGUGUUUUCAGCGGGAAAGCGUUGAAGGUUUCUGUGUUACGGAAAAGUAGAAGCUAAAGCACUGCUUUAGAUGACUCAUCUGUUAGCAAGCGGUUACCGAGCACUGCUCCUUUUUUUCUUAGCAGAUUUGAGUACCUUAGGUCCCAUCAUUAAAUUCAGUAAAAUUUGGCUGUGAAAUUUUCCGCAAAGGUCCAGAAGCUGAUUUUCAUAUACCUCACAGGAGUCUUUCUCUAAUGUUUAACAAGUAAGUAAAGUUUAAGAGGUUUAAAGCGAUCAUUAGGAAAUAUCAUCAGGUAAUGACAUAUAAUUUUAUGUAAAGCCUUACUAAUGAGAAAUUCUUUGCAGUAUAUACUUGGAAAAGAUUGAAAACAUGACCAGAAAUCACUUUUCACCUUGGGAUGAUGUUGGAAAAUUUAUUUUAAAUACUUGAAAGGCUUAUUUCAGUUUCCAUGCUGAGUCCAAUUACUUGUGGGUACAUAUUCCAACGAAUAUAAACAUUACAGCGUUCCUCUGGAAUUCCCAUGGAGCAGCUCCCAGAAAAUGUCUACUUUAGAUAGAAUCUUUAAUCUGUAAUCUCUAUGAUAUAGGAUAUAUAAAUCACCACAUUUUAAAAAUAUACUACUCAUUUUU